rnacentral:rRNA from 1 species
GUAACGGCGAGUGAAGCGGGAAAAGCUCAAAUUUAAAAUCUGGCAGUCUUUGGCUGUCCGAGUUGUAAUCUAGAGAAGCAUUAUCCGCGCUGGACCGUGUACAAGUCUCCUGGAAUGGAGCGUCAUAGAGGGUGAGAAUCCCGUCUUUGACACGGACUGCCAGGGCUUUUGUGAUGUGCUCUCAAAGAGUCGAGUUGUUUGGGA